rnacentral:tRNA from 1 species
UAAGGUGGCCGAAGUAAGCGGUGGAUUGUAGCGCCACAGAUGGAGGUUUCAACCCUUCUCUUAU